UUUAAUAUUGUUUCGUUUUCUUCUUCUUCUUAAGUCCUUGACCAAUCUUCCAUGUUCUCCGGUAUUAAUCAUUUUCAUCUUUUUCUUUGUUCAUAUUCUUCUAAAGAGUAGAGAGUUUUGCAACUAUGUAAAGAAACAAAAGAGAAAGAGUAGAUGCUAUUUUAAACACACCCACCUACUUUUUAAGUUCCACGUUCGUUCAUCAUCACUACCUCUCUAUUCUCAUCAUCCUCUCCGAAUCACUAAAAAUCACUAACACAAAUCAUUUAUUUUCACCCCUCAACAUCACCAUUUCUUAAAAAUCGUAUAUAAGUGUAGUAGGAGACUGACAACAUUGAUUUAGUAUGGAGAAACCUCUUGAUGAGGCGGAGAAUACAACAUCUUUCAAGCUUCAACUAGGAGGCAAAGUGUUCUAUGACCGUGGAGGCUCAACGAAAUAUUUGUGGAGCACCAUUGGGACAUGGGUGGAAUUGGAAAAAUAUGGCUUUCGGAUAUGCAGUUCGUGUUAUCAUUAAGGUGUUAUUAAAGCUCAAAAUAGAGAGUUCCGAUGUUAAUCCUAAGGUUUGGGGUAGCCUUGUAACUAAAUAUAGUCGUCAUGAUUAUUCAUCGCGCUUCUCCGAGCAAAAGUUCUCAUAUGUUAAAGUGAUCAAGAUUGGUGAAGGUUUCAAGACUGUAGAGACAAAUGAUUAUCUCUUUCGUAUCGAGUUAGAUUGGUGUAAGGUUAAGUGAUAUUUAUUGUAUAGGUGUUUCCGAACUUUAAAUAGAUUUACAAGUGAGAUUAUGUAUCGAGUUAGAUUGGUGUAAGGAUAAAUGAUAUUUAUUGUAUAUGUGUUUGAUUGUGUA